rnacentral:rRNA from 1 species
UACGGAGGGUGCAAACGUUGCUCGGGAUCAUUGGGCGUAAAGCGCACGUAGGCGGUCUGUUAAGUCGGAUGUGAAAGCCCCGGGCUCAACCCGGGAAGUGCAUACGAAACUGGCGGACUUGAAUAUGGAAGAGGGUCGCGGAAUUCCCGGUGUAGAGGUGAAAUUCGUAGAUAUCGGGAGGAACACCAGUGGCGAAGGCGGCGACCUGGGCCAAUAUUGACGCUAAUGUGCGAAAGCGUGGGGAGCAAACAGG